ACACAGUGAUGUACUAAAAGGGCAUAAUAUCUAAUGAGUAAAGAGCAGUUACGGACUUGACAGCAUGAAACACAGCUGGAGUUUUACAGUAAGCUCUUUCUCUUCAUGGCUAUUUCUCUGUGAACCGUUUUUAUGCCUCUAGUGGGCAUGCCAUGCAAAUUAUAUCCUGUGUUUGAAGCAUUUAUGCUGAUAUACGUUCAGCUCAACAACACACCAGCAGUUUGUGUUCAUUAACAGCAACAGUAAUUGUUUUAAUUAAUUGACAUGGGACUACGCAGAGUUUUGAGUUACUUUGCUCUAGCAAUGUUCAUUCAAUAUUCCUGCAGUCAGACACUAAUCGAGUCUGAUUCAGUGAUCCUCAAACCUGAUCAGUCUCAUAAACUGACCUGCACAGCUUCUGGAUUGGACAUUAGUAGUUACUGGAUGGCUUGGAUCCGACAGGCGCCUGGAAAAGGGCUGGAGUUUGUUGCAACUAUCGAGUAUGAUAGUGAUAGCAAGUAUUACUCCAGUGCAGUUAAUGGCCGCUUCACCAUCUCCAGAGACAAUAGUAAGAAGCAGGUGUAUCUGCAGAUGAACAGUGUGAGGACGGAAGAUACUGCAGUGUAUUACUGCGCCCGACACACAGUGAUACUUCUCCUUAGACAUCAGUACAAAAACACAUGCUUGCUUUAGUCACAUGACAAGCUCACAUUUUCAUGAGCAGUGUAUUCAUGGAGGUCAAAGAACCAAAAGGUUUUUAUUGUCUACUGUAUGACUGACAUGUUACCACUUACUGAAUUUUACUGCAUGUGGCUUGUUGUGAAUAUUUUCUGGACAUUUAUACUGCUGUAAGAUUACUUAAGUCAGUUCUUAUAUAAAACACAACACACAUUACUUUGAAAAAGCCUAUUAUUGAAUUCUUUGACUUUUGUCUGUGCUUCCAAGAGUCUGUGUAAUGAGCUCCAGCCAGUAUAAAAGUUAUCCGUACAUGCUGUUUUAAACACAGCAGUAUUUCACUGUAUGUCUGAGUAAGAACUAUGGAAGCAGUUGUUCACAGAGAUAGGAAACAGAGAUCAAUCCCAUAACACACACACACUUCUGAGUUUAUAAAAGAAAAUAAAAAUACUCACAAUACAUUAUGCUCAAAUAAGCAAAUAUCUUUGGAUUUAAAUUAAAUAAUUUCCUAUGAGACAAGUGUGUGUUUAUUUAGACAUCUAGUUAUUUGGGCACCUAGUCCAUGUGGAAUGAGGUUAAGAUUCAUUUACAGAACUAAAUUUAACUUACGUAUUCAGUCUUUAAUAUAUAAAUCAACUUUUUUUUUUACAUCACCCAAGAACAUUUCCAUUGUGAUUAUUAAAACAUGUAGGAGACAGAA